rnacentral:rRNA from 1 species
UACGUAGGGGGCAAGCGUUGUCCGGAAUCAUUGGGCGUAAAGCGCGUGUAGGCGGUUCGGUAAGUCUGCUGUGAAAGUCCAGGGCUCAACCCUGGGAUGCCGGUGGAUACUGUCGGACUAGAGUACGGAAGAGGCGAGUGGAAUUCCCGGUGUAGCGGUGAAAUGCGCAGAUAUCAGGAGGAACACCGGUGGCGAAGGCGACUACCUGGCCUGUUCUUGACGCUGAGGCGCGAAAGCUAGGGGAGCAAACGGG